UACGUAGGGGGCAAGCGUUGUCCGGAUUUAUUGGGCGUAAAGAGCGUGUAGGCGGCUAUACAGGUCCGUUGUGAAAACUCGAGGCUCAACCUCGAGACGCCGAUGGAAACCGUAUGGCUAGAGUCCGGAAGAGGCGAGUGGAAUUCCUGGUGUAGCGGUGAACUGCGCAGAUAUCAGGAGGAACACCUAUUGCGAAGGCAGCUCGCUGGGACGUAACUGACGCUGAGACGCGAAAGCGUGGGGAGCAAACAGG
rnacentral:rRNA from 1 species